AUCGGUAACAGUAUUUAAACUGCAAGCAGACUAGCUUGUAGAACCCCUGGGACCGCCCACUGCGCAAAAUAUUAACCAAUUAGCAAUCAAUAAGUUUCGCUACGCGAGAGGAUCUCUCUCUGGUUGGUGGCUGAGCGGUCUGGACGUCUCUCCUGCUACGCGCUAAACACUUUGGAUUUUAAUAAGUUUGUGAGUAAAUAUUGCAGGCUAAGCAGCAUCUGCAGCUUUACUAAAGCUAGAAAGCUUAAGUUCGCUAAUUUAGCCGCUAAACUGACCGUGAGGAGGACCGCUGGUGACUUUCGUGACUCGCACACGGGAGCCGAAUUAUCGUCAGGGGUUGCCAGAUCGGAAUGAAACCCCUAGAUUGGAUUUGCAGCUCUGACCCGUUUGGUUGAAACAGGCAUCUUAACACCGCCAGGAUUCGAUGCAGCACCCGGUACCUCCACGGCUUGUGAACCUGGCGCUUUGACUGCAUUUAGGCCCUGUUUAACAAGCAGUCCUGGGGGCCUGCCACAGUGUGGAGAGAGUCAAAGUGCUGAUGAUGAGUCAGCUUCCCGUGGAAAACGUCCAAGAACGUGUCUGAGUACAAAUAACAGCUCGAUUUCACACGGGAAACGUCUUCGGUUAGAUGAUCGUUACAAAUCUGUGGGUAAGAAAAUACAAAUUAAAGUGAACACUUUACAAUGUAAUUUUUAACAUUAACUGCUGUGUGUAAAUUUUUUCCUUAAACUGUUUACAGAUUUGCAUACCAGUGACCGAGCUGCAUGUGGUGGUGGUGUGGAGCAGACAGGAGCGGCUUCGGAGUUUGACGCUGUUGUCUGGACUGAAGCUUUUGAAUACGUGGGACCAGAACAGUUUCACAGAAAAGCCGGAUGAUGCUGUGGAUACUGGACUAAUUAAUACAGGACAAAUCCAAUAUCAGAAGUGAGAGACAUUGAUGGAGAGGUUUUAAAAGCAAAUCAGCUCAAAGCAGCUCUUACCUUUCUAGCGACAUUGGUGGGUCAGCAAUCUCAUGAAAUUACGAAAAAUACUAUUGAGCAGCGUAGACAAGGCGCUAUUGUGCGUAGAUUAAAUAAUAUUGUUCAGAAAUGAGCAGAAAAGAAUCAGGAAUUGGCAAAAGAAAAUCCUAUACUGUCUGAACAGGUAAAGCAUAUACAUGUGGUACAGGUUAUGCGCGAAGAACAAAACACAUUUUAAAUCUUUAACAGACGUAAUAUUUAAACUCAACAGGGUUUUACAGUUAAAAACUUCAACAAAAUUGUCUGUUUCAGGGUCAUCUAUGUAGUUAUUGGUUGGCAAUUUGAAAAUAUUUCCGUUCUUUACAUAUUCCUGUUUACCUGUUAAACAAACCACAUCAUCAGUACAUGAUAGAUUAUUGUUUUAAAUAAUAAUUAUUAGCAAAAAGAAGCAGACAAUAAAAAUAAUGGGGUCUAAAAGGUGUCGGGAGUCAGACAACACUCCAUGCGUUAGCGCAACAAAUGAUGUUUGGGCACAGAUGUCUAUUAG
ensembl:lncRNA